rnacentral:rRNA from 1 species
UGGGGAAUAUUGGACAAUGGGCGAAAGCCUGAUCCAGCCAUGCCGCGUGUGUGAAGAAGGCCUUUUGGUUGUAAAGCACUUUAAGCGAGGAGGAGGCUACUUGGAUUAAUACUCUAGGAUAGUGGACGUUACUCGCAGAAUAAGCACCGGCUAAAUCUGUGCCAGCAGCCGCGGUAAUACAGAGGGUGCGAGCGUUAAUCGGAUUUACUGGGCGUAAAGCGUGCGUAGGCGGCUUCUUAAGUCGGAUGUGAAAUCCCUGAGCUUAACUUAGGAAUUGCAUUCGAUACUGGGAAGCUAGAGUAUGGGAGAGGAUGGUAGAAUUCCAGGUGUAGCGGUGAAAUGCGUAGAGAUCUGGAGGAAUACCGAUGGCGAAGGCAGCCAUCUGGCCUAAUACUGACGCUGAGGUACGAAAGCAUGGGGAGCAAACAGG